UCGUUUAUCGUGAAAUGGCAUAUGAAUUUUAUGGAAAUAAGUCGAUGUUAAAAUAACCUCGUUGUUAAUAUUACUGAAGAAAACGAAUAAUUAAUAUUAUUUUUACAUUAUAUUAUCUAAUAAUUAUUGUAUAUUUUGUACAUAGAGUAUAUACUUAUUUCAUUUUAGAUGCAGAUAGUAUAAAAAAGUGCGUAUGAUAGAGGACCUAUUUUCUACAAAAUUGUGCCACUUCAAAACAGAAUGUCAAGGAAAUGCUGCUAUGUAAUUUUUCAGAUGUAGAUUGUGGCCCAUAAUUAUGUCAAUGUCUUGCAGGCGGUUUUUCCAGCCAAUCUUGCGAAGAAAACUUUUGCGUGACAAUCGCUUGACUAGUUGCGCAUAUUCAUACACACUCAUGCAACUUCAUUAUUCUCAGGGUCGCAUGCAUAUAUUUUGGAGGUUAAGGAGAGAAGACUUAACAAAGUUGACAUGUGAAAUCGAGUACAAAUAAGUAAAGCAUACUUCACUCGUCGGCGAUGAUGGACGUAUUGGAGGCGUUGCACAAUUUACAAUCCUCUUCUCCAAGUAGGGGCGUGUUUCUUCUUAUAAGACAUGCUAAACGAGAAGCUGUCCUCGGUUAGAUUGCAAACAGUCGAGCUGUGAAAUCGCUUCAGGAUGCGUUGGAGCUCAUUGUGCCUUCUGUUGUUAUUUAUCAUCCUAGCAAAAGCUUAUAUGAAGUCUUGCAAGUAUUGGUGCAAGAUGGAUGAUCAUCGUUAUUAUUGUUGCCCAAGUGGAAAAACCGACUUUUGGUCAGAACAUGGCUGGCAUACGUUCUUCUUCCCGUGGUUCUGGUUUGGUGUUGAAGAACCACACGUUGAACAUCCUUGGCAUGAGGUCAUGAAGCCUAAAAAGCACUGUCCACCUUUGAGAGCUGAAUGUCCUAGGACUUAUGAGUGGUACAAGCCGCCUGAAUUUUGCGAAAGCGAUCACGAGUGCAGUGAGUCGGAAAAGUGCUGCUACGAUGUAUGCUUGGACCAUAAAACAUGUAAAGAAGCGGAAUAGAAUUUUUUCGUAAUUUUGUAAUACCUGGUCUUAUACACUUAGUUGACUGUCAGCGAGUAUGACUCAUAAAUUCGCAAAGUUAUGGAGUACUAUGCUGUGAGCUAAACGUAAUAAACAAUGUGAAUAAAAAGGAACACGAUAGAUUGCGUCUCAACAAAUAAAAAAUCAACAAAAUGCGUUUGACCAUUUGCUGAUUUUCGUGGGAUUGCUGGUAAUUGCUUGCGCUUGUGGAUUUAUUCAAGCUUAUUCGUAACUGCUCAAUUACAGAUGCAGCGAGCGAGUUCCUUAAUUAGUGUAAAAGUCACGGCACAUAAUAUUUCGCGACAGUACAUUCGCAAUAAGGUAUAAUUGGCAUAUCAGGUUGCGUCUCGUCGAUUAACAUUCGCACAUGUCCUAUAAAUUCUUGGAAAAAUGUGCCACACAAAGCGAGAUGUUUGGUAUUUUUUCCCAUCCAAAUUAAGGGGAUCAUUUUUAAUGUGGCCCACCGGAAGAAUCCAAUCGAGCUACAAGGACGUCCGAAUCAUCGAAAAACAAGGUCAUUUCGAAUUCCUCGAAUUGUUUAUGAGUUAUGACGCAGUACUAUUCCAAAGUAAUUUAAGAAAUCCAUAUUAUAUAUGCAACAAAAAAAGAUAUAAAUUGAUGUAUUUUCUAUUAUUUAUUCUGAGAUACGUUACGAAAUAAGAAACAGAAUGCAGAUUAAUGAUAAUUCGUCAAUAUAUAUGAUUUUGACAUGAACAUAAUUCGCGGGGUAUUUUGUAAGAAAUUUGAACGCAAUCUCAUGAUCAAUGUGACGUAUACGUCACGUGAUUUAUUUCGCGGUCACGAAUAAUAGUGAAUUACUUCAAGGCGAAGAUGUCGGACGUGAAUUAACGUCGUCCUGUGUUUCGCGCACGUUCUUCCUCCUUCGAAAUGAAUUCUACACGCAAUCAAGUAUUCGUAAUAUCGAAUUCAACAAUGGGCGAUUGUCAGAUAACAAAGGAUGGAUUAUCUGAGGAAUAUCGAGUUACAAUUGGUUACAACUGGCAGGACAUCGAGUUGCAAUGAGUUACAACUGGCAAGACAUCGCUUGACAUAAUUGAUGCGUCGACCGCACACGCGCUCAGCAUUCUUGGUGGGGAAACAGAGACGAGUGCGAACGCACGACUAAGCAAGACGACGACGCCGGCCGGCCGGCGGAAGAAUGGUAGAGAAGGGGAUUUAGCGGACGCGCACCUAUGCCGACACGGAACUCGGAAGAGCAGCGCACUCGGUGGCAUUCGCUCGCGAGCCGCUGUGCCGUGCGGUUGUAUUCUCUUCGUAAGCUGACGGCGCGUGUCAACCAGCCGGCUUUUCGACGUGCUGUCAUCCUCCCCGCGAGAGAGAGCAACUCUUACGCAUGAAUCGCGAGACUGCGUUACGGUUUUUUUUCUCCCUUAUAAACUAGCAGUGAGAGAAAAAAGAGGGUGAGUCUCCGUCGUGAGAGAGAUAAUUCGGACGACAGUCGUCGUUCCGUUAUCGAGGAAACCGGCGUAACGCCACCGCUCGUUGUCGGUCGCGAGCGCGGAACGGUACCUCCUGCACGGUGAAAUUAGCGUGGAAAGUGCCUGCACGCUCCGUUUCGCCUCGCGAAGGCAGAAAGAGAGAGAAAAAGAAAUAAAACAGGAAGCGAAAUAUACUCAGGACAGCUCGCAAGCUCGCUUCCUCUUUCCGGAUUCGCGCGCGCGUUCUUCGCGAUUUGUAUAUCUCGCAAUAUCUUGCUGUGAUAUUUCGCCGAGUUCGUGAAACGCGAUUAUACUCGUCCGUCCGACUAGCCGCAGUCGUCGUUGCCUAGAACUGAAACAGUGAGGGUUAAUAAGUGUGCUGUGACAGCUGCAGAAAUAUUUCCGGAGAAAAUGGAGUCGAUGAGGAUCCUGCUGUUGAUCAUCCUUACGGGCAUCGCCAGCUGUCA